CCUAGCCAUAAACUUUGAUCUUUCCGCCGGAGUACUACGAGCAAUAGCUUAAAACUCAAAGGACUUGGCGGUGCUCUACACCCACCUAGAGGAGCCUGUUCUAUAAUUGAUAAUCCCCAAUAAACCUCACCACCCAUUGCAAAACAGCCUAUAUACCGCCGCCGUCAGCUUACCCUUUAAGGGAAAACAAGUAAGCAAAAUGAUAAACAUAAAAACGUCAGGUCAAGGUGUAGCACAUGGGGUGGGAAGAAAUGGGCUACAUUUUCUUUUAGAAAAAACGAAAAACCAAAUGAAAAAAAGUUGGAAGGAGGAUUUAGCAGUAAAAAGAAAUAAGAGUGUUCUUUUUAAAUUUGGCUAUAGAGCGCGCAC
rnacentral:rRNA from 1 species